UUUGCAGAGGUGGGCAAGAGCGCUCUUUUGGUAUGUUCACACUACAAGAAGAGUGGAGUGGAGCAGAGCAGAGCGAUUGCUAGCGGCAUUAUUUUUUACAUAGAUUUGGAUGUACAGACGCUCAGAUGUUCACCUCGUAAGGGGGGCGGCACAGAGCGAAGUGGCACGCUGUAGAAAUUCCAGCAUAUUUUUUGCUGCUUAGCAGCUAGCGGUCAAGACUCCACCCAUGGCCAAGAACGUAUCUACCAAUGACGUGCUGCACUGGUGGCGUGGCGUCGAGGGAAGAGCCUCUUUCUAUACCUGCUCAGUACUUUAUUUAACACGUGAAGGUGUUCCAUAGUUUCAAGAAGGGAAUGGAACACACACUUUGCUGCACUCCAAGCUUUUGGAGGUCCAGCGGCACACUGCGCAUUGCUUUCAUAAACGUGUGUGCAGAGUGCGAGACAGAGAGGGGCAAGGAUGUAGGAUGCUUCAACAUUCACAACAUCAUUGGUUCAUGCUUUCUUUUUUUGUGAAAAAUAGUGCACACAGUUUUAACCGAAGGAUUAUAUGUCAUCAUUCACAUUCAUAGAUUUCAUGACUUAACAUUGUGUUGGCAUUUAUACAUCAAAUCACUUCAUUACAUGUAAGCGUAUAUUUAGCUACAAGGAGUAAGGGUUUUUUAAAUUUGUAAUGUAUAAAAAGUGAUUUAUAAGACAUCUUGCAUUAUGAAGAUUUGUUUAAAGGUCUUUGUUUAUUAACGUGAUCUACUAAGCGUUUCAGAGAGUUUGAAGGCACGUUUUUCUAGAAUAACUUUGUAAGGAACUCGCAUAUCAUUAUGAAAUUUUGCCACAGUGUACUUGACACCCUCCCCGAA